UACGGAGGGUGCAAGCGUUAUCCGGAUUCACUGGGUUUAAAGGGUGCGUAGGUGGGUUGGUAAGUCAGUGGUGAAAUCCCCGAGCUUAACUUGGGAACUGCCAUUGAUACUAUUAAUCUUGAAUACCGUGGAGGUCGGCGGAAUAUGUCAUGUAGCGGUGAAAUGCUUAGAUAUGACAUAGAACACCAAUUGCGAAGGCAGCUGGCUACACGAGUAUUGACACUGAGGCACGAAAGCGUGGGGAUCAAACAGG
rnacentral:rRNA from 1 species